UACGAAGGUGGCAAGCGUUGUUCGGAUUUACUGGGCGUACAGGGAGCGUAGGCGGUUGGAUAAGCCCUCCGUGAAAUCUCCAGGCUUAACCUGGAAAGUGCAGAGGGGACUGUUCAGCUAGAGGAUGGGAGAGGAGCGCGGAAUUCCCGGUGUAGCGGUGAAAUGCGUAGAUAUCUGGAGGAACACCGGUGGCGAAGGCGGCAUCCUGGACCAACACUGACACUGAGGAGCGAAAGCCAGGGGAGCAAACGGG
rnacentral:rRNA from 1 species